AGGUAAUGGCUCACCCUUCGACGAUCCGUAACUGUUCUGAAAGCAUGAUCAGUCACACUGGUCCUGACCCAGACCCACUCUCCAACGGGAGGCAGCAGUGGGGAAUAUUGGACAAUGGGCGAAAGCCUGAUCCAGCCAUGCCGCGUGUGUGAAGAAGGUCUUCGGAUUGUAAAGCACUUUAAGUUGGGAGGAAGGGUUGUAGAUUAAUACUCUGCAAUUUUGACGUUACCGACAGAAUAAGCACCGGCUAACUCUGUGCCAGCAGCCGCGGUAAUACAGAGGGUGCAAGCGUUAAUCGGAAUUACUGGGCGUAAAGCGCGCGUAGGUGGUUCGUUAAGUUGGAUGUG
rnacentral:rRNA from 1 species